rnacentral:snoRNA from 1 species
GUGAAGUGAUGAUGAUGUUUUAUCCAUUCUCUGAGUGCCGCUUGCUCUGCCCUUCCUGUCACGUUGAGGCCUCAUUCUGCGGCCUCGACGUUCCGUGGCUUCUAAACACCUUCCAGGCUUCCAGUGUUCUACUGGAGGUUGUGGGGAUGUUUGGGUAGCUGCUGACUGGACCUGGGCAGGGGAAGCAGGGCCUGACCCCUUUCCUAUGGGGCCCGACUCAACAAAGAAGAAUGAAACUGUCUGAUCAC